GACGAACCGUGCGAACGUUGUUCGGAUUCACUGGGCUUAAAGGGCGCGUAGGCGGCUUGCCAAGUCAGGGUGAAAUCUUUCGGCUCAACCGGAAAAGUGCCUUUGAUACUGGCGAGCUAGAGGGAGGUAGGGGUGCGUGGAACUUCUGGUGGAGCGGUGAAAUGCGUAGAUAUCAGGAGGAACACCAAUGGCGAAGGCAGCUCGCUGGGACGUGACUGACGCUGAGACGCGAAAGCGUGGGGAGCAAACAGG
rnacentral:rRNA from 1 species